GAUGAACGCUGGCGGCGUGCCUAAUACAUGCAAGUCGAGCGAACGGACGAGAAGCUUGCUUCUCUGGUGUUAGCGGCGGACGGGUGAGUAACACGUGGAUAACCUACCUAUAAGACUGGGAUAACCUCGGGAAACCGGAGCUAAUACCGGAUAAUAUUUUGAACCGCACGGUUCCAAACUGAAAGACGGUCUUGCUGUCACUUAUAGAUGGAUCCGCGCUGCAUUAGCUAGUUGGUAAGGUAACGGCUUACCAAGGCAACGAUGCAUAGCCGACCUGAGCGGGUGAUCGCCCACACUGGAACUGAGACACGGACCAGACUCCUACGGGAGGCAGCAGUGGGGAAUGUUCGGCAAUGGGCGAAAGCCUGACACAGCAAGGCCGCGUGAGAGAUGACGGCGUUCGGGUCGUAAAACUCUUUUAUUAGGGAAGAACAUAUUUUGGCUUAGCCGUGGACAUCUUGACGGUACCUGAUAAAAAAGCACCGGCUAACUACGUG
rnacentral:rRNA from 1 species